AAGACUAUACUUUCAGGGAUCAUUUCUAUAGUCCUUGACUUGGAAAUACGUUUCGAAAGUGUUGUGUCUCGCUAUUCAUGAUGAUGAGCUAUAAUGCUUUUUUCUUUGAGCCUUGAAUCGACAGAGAUCGAGACUUUUGUCUCUGGUCUGCUGUCAUUGAUGACCGUUCCUGCUCUCUGUCGGGGGGCAGGAGAAGAGAAGCAUUUUCAGAGUGAU